rnacentral:rRNA from 1 species
GAUGAACGCUGGCGGCGUGCCUAAUACAUGCAAGUCGAGCGAACAGACGAGGAGCUUGCUCCUCUGACGUUAGCGGCGGACGGGUGAGUAACACGUGGAUAACCUACCUAUAAGACUGGGAUAACUUCGGAACACCGGAGCUUAUACGGGAUAACAUGUUGAACCGCAGGGUGCAACAGUGAAAGACGGUCUUGGUGGCACGAAUCGCUGGAUCCGAGCCGCUUGAGCUGGUUGGUAAGGUAACGGCUUAUCAAGGCAACCAUGCGUAGCCGAAGUGAGAGACUGGUCGGCCACACUGGAACGGAGACACGGUCCAGGCUCCUACGGGAGGCAGCAGUAGGGAAUCGUCCGCAGUGGGCGAGAGCCUGACGGAGCAACGCCGCGUGAGUGAAGAAGGUCUUCGGAUCGUAAAACUCUGUUAUUGGGGAAGAACAAAUGUGUAAGUAGAUAUGGACGUAGUGACGGUACCUAGUCAGAAAGCCACGGCUAACUACGUG